UCCUCGAACCCUCUUUCCUUAACCUUCUUCACUUUUCUCUCUUCUCUAAGCUUCUUCCCCAUCUUUACUCCUCCUCAUGCUUCUCCUUCAAUUCGACGUGAACUUCUUGAUCCCUCCUUGGAGCUUUUUCUUCGUUUUUAUCAGUGCGUGCUUGUGGCUUUUCCCCUUCGUCUUGAACGCUAUCUUCCUUUCAGGUUUACUCUCAUCUUUCACAUUUCGUCUUCCUCGAGCUUCCUCUUUCCACUCGAGAGCUCCUCAUUCGCAAGCCAUUUCUCUUCACACAAUCUUCUUCUUCUUUCAUAUUUAGCUUUUCCAUAGCCUUUGCAACCAUAGAACGUUUGUUCUACCGAUUCAUUAGUCGAUCUACAUCUCUCGUUAGGACUCCAACCUCUUUUCAUCAUUUUCUUCAUUUUCAACCGAUUAAAUCCUCUUUUCUAUCGAUUAAAAGCCUUUCCACCGAUUGAUUCUUCGAUUAGCAUCAUUUACACCGAUUAAUCGAUCCAUUUUAGGUUUCCUUCGUCAACCUAGGGUUUUAGGGUUCUUCGCGUCGAAUCCUCUCUGUUUUUGGAGUAUUCCUGGAUUCUCAGGGUUUGUUUUCGUUCUCCACUGAUUCGACUCUUGGUCUCGAGUUCUCUUCCCAAUUUACAUCAUUCCGCUGCGUUUCUUCACCGGAGGUGCCUCAUUACAGUUUAAAUCGCGCCUUCAGGCCUUCAUACAAUGACAUUUGUAUUACCGAUGUUGCGUUUAGGGAAGAUUCAGAGGGCUUUUAAGGUUUUUGAUGAAAUGAUUGUAAGAAUGUUCAUGGAGUUAUGUAAUGGGGAGAGAUUGGUUUGCAUCACUUUCUCCCAAUUUCUGUUUUGAAGGCUACUGCUUCACCACGACAGGUAUUGUUAGACUUUAUAAUGUAUAUUUGGAAAUUUGAUCUGAAUCUUAUCUAUAGUCCAAAAUUAUUUAUUUCAAUCAUUCUAUUUUCAGAUGAGAUCAGCAGAUGAAGGACAAACUACUUUCUAUACAUGUACCCGUUAUGGUCAUCAAUCUCAGGAGAAUUAGUUGUUUACUUUAAGGCUAUUUUUGGAAGGAAUGUACAGGAAAAAUAGAAUGAUCUUUAAGGUUAUUUUGUUUUGAGCACCUGACCCCAGUAAGAUUGUUAUCUGGAACUUGGUUAUUAAUUAAUAAGCCAUUUUACCUUAAAUUUCGUUUCUAUAUCAGCUAUAAAUAAUUAAGACUACCUGGAGAAAUGACGUAGCAGUACAACCCAAGUAGGCUAGAUUCAACAUAAAAAUUGGGUUGUCUACUCUGUCGAACAUGAAAGUUUUUUGUGGCUUGUAAUAAAAAAGUAGCUUUAGUGUGUAGCCUUACUUUAUGAAAUCAAAUUGUGUAAAAUAUGAAUUACCAAGAAAAUUAUCGUCUGAUUUGGUUUCAAAAAGAGGAGAAAAACUGUGAAUAAUAUAUCAUUCAAAGCAGAAUUAUAUCUGUUAGCUUGUACAUUUCCUACCUUUAGGUGAUACUAAAAGUUCAUAUAUUUGCAGGAUGGUAAGACCUUACCCAAUGGACCUGUUAUUUCUCCUGACAGAUUUUAUUGAGAAGGAUUGUAAUUGAGAUGCUUGAAGUGAAAAUUAGAGAAUUUGUGUGCAAUUUCAACACUGUAUUGGAAGAGAUAUCAUUAUCCAAACAAAAUCUUUCCACGCCUCUUGAUUGUAUGAAAAAUCGUAAAUUUGAUAUUG